GGGGGGGGGGGGGGGGGGGGGGGGGGGGGGGGGGGGGGGGGGGGGGGGGGGGGUGGGAGUACAGUUGCUGGCGGACGGCAAGCGGGUGCGGAACACGGACGCAACUUACACCGAACUGGGGGAUAGCCCGGGGACCCCCGGAUUAAUACCCCGUACGAUAAUGGAGUGGCGUCGCUUUAUGAUGAAAGCUCCGGCGUUUGGGGAUGGGCAUGCGGCUGAUUAGGUAGUUGUUUGAGUUAACGGGUCACCAAGCCUCCGAUCAGUAACUGGUGUGAUAGCACGACCAGUCACACGGGCACUGAGACACGCGCCAGACUCCUACGGGAGGCAGCAGUAAGGAAUAUUGGGCAAUGGAGGCAACUCUGCCCCAGCCAUGCCGCGUGGAGGAUGAAGGCCCUCUGGGUUGUAAACUUCUUUUAUAGGGGACGAAACCUGUGUAUUCUUACGCAGUUGACGGUACCCUAGGAAUAAGCACCGGCUAACUCCGUG
rnacentral:rRNA from 1 species